UACCAGCUCUCCGAGUGGUGUGGAUGUUUAUUGGGCCUAAAGCAUCCGUAGCUGGCUGGACAAGUCCCCUGUUAAAUCCACCGAUUUAAUCGUUGGAGUGCGGGGGAUACUGUUUGGCUAGGGGACGGGAGAGGCCGACGGUAUUUCCGGGGUAGGGGUGAAAUCCUAUAAUCCCGGGAAGACCACCAGUGGCGAAGGCUGUCGGCUAGAACGCGCCCGACGGUGAGGGAUGAAAGCUGGGGGAGCGAACCGGAUUAGAUACCCGGGUAGUCCCAGCUGUAAACGAUGCAGGCUAGGUGUUUGGGCGGCCACGAGCCGCUCUAGUGCCGCAGGGAAGCUGUUAAGCCUGCCGCCUGGGGAGUACGGCCGCAAGGCUGAAACUUAAAGGAAUUGGCGGGGGAGCACCACAAGGCGUGAAGCUUGCGGUUC
rnacentral:rRNA from 1 species